rnacentral:tRNA from 1 species
GGAGAGAUGGCUCAGUGGUUAAGAGCACUGACUGCUCUUCCAAAGGUCCUGAGUUCAAUUCCCAGCAUCCACA